rnacentral:rRNA from 1 species
UACGAGGGGGGCGAGCGUUGUUCGGAAUUAUUGGGCGUAAAGGGUGCGUAGGCGGUUUGAUAAGUCUGAUGUGAAAUCUAUGGGCUCAACCCAUAGUCUGCAUUAGAAACUGUCGGGCUUGAGUAUGGGAGAGGUGAGUGGAAUUUCCGGUGUAGCGGUGAAAUGCGUAGAUAUCAGGAGGAACACCGGUGGUGUAGACGGCUCUCUGGACCGUAACUGACGCUGAGGCACGAAAGCGUGGGUAGCAAACAGG